ACUCCUACGGGAGGCAGCAGUGGGGAAUAUUGCACAAUGGGGGAAAGCCCUCGAUGCAGCCAUGCCGCGUGUGUGAAGAAGGCCUUCGGGUUGUAAAGCACUUUCAGCGAGGAGGAAAAGGGUGUGUGUUAAUACCAUACAUCUGUGACGUUACUCGCAGAAGAAGCACCGGCUAACUCCGUGCCAGCAGCCGCGGUAAUACGGAGGGUGCGAGCGUUAAUCGGAAUUACUGGGCGUAAAGCGUGCGCAGGCGGUUUGUUAAGCGAGAUGUGAAAGCCCCGGCUCAAGCCUGGAAUUGCAUUUGCGAACUUGGACAAGCGUAGAGUCUUGUAGUAGGGGGGUAGAAUUUGGCAGGUGUAGCGGUGAAAUGCAGUAGAGAUCUGAAGG
rnacentral:rRNA from 1 species